rnacentral:lncRNA from 1 species
CGAUCAAGUUCAGGUUCCACAUGGCCAUUGAAGUGGAGGACACAAUCCAGGCAGUGCAUGACAUGCUCAAUUGUGGAAUGUAAUGCAUCAGGAGUGAUGUUUCGCACGUGUUCUAUUAUGCGAUUUUUUUUUUUGUCAUUGAAGUCUGCGACACCUCCAUGGUGCACAUUAGAUUUUAAGUACCCCAAAUCCAAAAAUCGCGUUUGCACUGGCCGCUCCAUUUUUCUGCAAUUGUUGCAACAAAUUUUUUUUUGUUUCAUUCUUCUUUCCCCUUCUCGAUUGGUAAGUGUACCGAUUUUGGUUUCGUUCAGAU